GAGUUUGAUCCUGGCUCAGAUUGAACGCUGGCGGCAUGCCUUACACAUGCAAGUCGAACGGCAGCACGGGAGCUUGCUCCUGGUGGCGAGUGGCGAACGGGUGAGUAAUGCAUCGGAACGUAUCCUGGAGUGGGGGAUAACGUAGCGAAAGUUACGCUAAUACCGCAUAUUCUGUGAGCAGGAAAGCGGGGGACCUUCGGGCCUCGCGCUCUUGGAGCGGCCGAUGUCGGAUUAGCUAGUUGGUGAGGUAAAGGCGUCACCAAGGCGACGAUCCGUAGCAGGUCUGAGAGGAUGAUCUGCCACACUGGAACUGAGACACGGUCCAGACUCCUACGGGAGGCAGCAGUGGGGAAUUUUGGACAAUGGGGGCAACCCUGAUCCAGCCAUGCCGCGUGAGUGAAG
rnacentral:rRNA from 1 species